GCCGAAAUCAAAGAGUUGAUGCAAUCCAAAGGUGAAGACACCUUGCUGCUUGAGGACACUGAGUGGAUUCUUGCCUUUCAUUUUUAAUGGACAUCACUGGGAAACUGAACCAUCUGAACUGUGAGCUGCAAAGUAAAGUGUUGUGGUUACCUGGCUCUGGAAGAGGUGCUUCACUGUGACUAGCGGCGUCUCUCAGAGGGCAGAGGAAACCCGAGGAGAGGCAGGACAGCAUCGUGUUGCCGUGGGGAUCCUGAGGAAGGCCUACUGCACGGGGAUCAUCGGACCUCAUUACAGGAAGAUACGCAGCAUCAAAGGCAAUCUUCUUGUUAAUGCCUGUCAGAAAAAUUGAAAA